rnacentral:rRNA from 1 species
GAUGAACGCUGGCGGCGUGCCUAAUACAUGCAAGUCGAGCGAACGGACGAGAAGCUUGCUUCUCUGAUGUUAGCGGCGGACGGGUGAGUAACACGUGGAUAACCUACCUAUAAGACUGGGAUAACUUCGGGAAACCGGAGCUAAUACCGGAUAAUAUUUUGAACCGCAUGGUUCAAAAGUGAAAGACGGUCUUGCUGUCACUUAUAGAUGGAUCCGCGCUGCAUUAGCUAGUUGGUAAGGUAACGGCUUACCAAGGCAACGAUGCAUAGCCGACCUGAGAGGGUGAUCGGCCACACUGGAACUGAGACACGGUCCAGACUCCUACGGGAGGCAGCAGUAGGGAAUCUUCCGCAAUGGGCGAAAGCCUGACGGAGCAACGCCGCGUGAGUGAUGAAGGUCUUCGGAUCGUAAAACUCUGUUAUUAGGGAAGAACAUAUGUGUAAGUAACUGUGCACAUCUUGACGGUACCUAAUCAGAAAGCCACGGCUAACUACGUGCCAGCAGCCGCGGUAAUACGUAGGUGGCAAGCGUUAUCCGGAAUUAUUGGGCGUAAAGCGCGCGUAGGCGGUUUUUUAAGUCUGAUGUGAAAGCCCACGGCUCAACCGUGGAGGGUCAUUGGAAACUGGAAAACUUGAGUGCAGAAGAGGAAAGUGGAAUUCCAUGUGUAGCGGUGAAAUGCGCAGAGAUAUGGAGGAACACCAGUGGCGAAGGCGACUUUCUGGUCUGUAACUGACGCUGAUGUGCGAAAGCGUGGGGAUCAAACAGGAUUAGAUACCCUGGUAGUCCACGCCGUAAACGAUGAGUGCUAAGUGUUAGGGGGUUUCCGCCCCUUAGUGCUGCAGCUAACGCAUUAAGCACUCCGCCUGGGGAGUACGACCGCAAGGUUGAAACUCAAAGGAAUUGACGGGGACCCGCACAAGCGGUGGAGCAUGUGGUUUAAUUCGAAGCAGCGCGAAGAACCUUACCAAAUCUUGACAUCCUUUGACAACUCUAGAGAUAGAGCCUUCCCCUUCGGGGGACAAAGUGACAGGUGGUGCAUGGUUGUCGUCAGCUCGUGUCGUGAGAUGUUGGGUUAAGUCCCGCAACGAGCGCAACCCUUAAGCUUAGUUGCCAUCAUUAAGUUGGGCACUCUAAGUUGACUGCCGGUGACAAACCGGAGGAAGGUGGGGAUGACGUCAAAUCAUCAUGCCCCUUAUGAUUUGGGCUACACACGUGCUACAAUGGACAAUACAAAGGGCAGCGAAACCGCGAGGUCAAGCAAAUCCCAUAAAGUUGUUCUCAGUUCGGAUUGUAGUCUGCAACUCGACUACAUGAAGCUGGAAUCGCUAGUAAUCGUAGAUCAGCAUGCUACGGUGAAUACGUUCCCGGGUCU